rnacentral:rRNA from 1 species
AGUGAACGCUGGCGGUAGGCCUAACACAUGCAAGUCGAACGGCAGCACGGUAAGAGCUUGCUCUUACGGGUGGCGAGUGGCGGACGGGUGAGGAAUACAUCGGAAUCUACUUUUUCGUGGGGGAUAACGUAGGGAAACUUACGCUAAUACCGCAUACGACCUACGGGUGAAAGCAGGGGAUCUUCGGACCUUGCGCGAUUGAAUGAGCCGAUGUCGGAUUAGCUAGUUGGCGGGGUAAAGGCCCACCAAGGCGACGAUCCGUAGCUGGUCUGAGAGGAUGAUCAGCCACACUGGAACUGAGACACGGUCCAGACUCCUACGGGAGGCAGCAGUGGGGAAUAUUGGACAAUGGGCGCAAGCCUGGUCCAGCCAUACCGCGUGGGUGAAGAAGGCCUUCGGGUUGUGAAGCCCUUUUGUUGGGAAAGAAAAGCAGCAGGUUAAUACCCCGCUGUUCUGACGGUACCCAAAGAAUAAGCACCGGCUAACUUCGUG